rnacentral:rRNA from 1 species
UGGGGAAUUUUGGACAAUGGGGGAAACCCUGAUCCAGCAACGCCGCGUGAAGGAUGAAGGCCUUCGGGUCGUAAACUUCUUUUCCAGGGGACGAAUGGACGGGUGAAUAGCCCGUCGUGACUGUACCCUGGGAAUAAGCCACGGCUAACUACGUGCCAGCAGCCGCGGUAAUACGUAGGUGGCAAGCGUUACUCGGAAUUACUAGGCGUAAAGCGCAGGUAGGUGGUUCGGUAAGUUCGUUGUGGAAGCUCCCGGCUCAACUGGGAGAGGUCAACGAAUACUGCCAGGCUUGAGGGUGGCAGGGGAAACUGGAAUUCCCGGUGUAGCGGUGAAAUGCGCAGAGAUCGGGAGGAACACCGACGGCGAAAGCAGGUUUCUGGGCCAUUCCUGACACUGAGCUGCGAAAGCUAGGGGAGCAAACA